UAAUCUUUUAAAAUAACCUCUACUUUACAGAAGGUGUAGAUGCUUCAAUGAGGAUAUGCUUGCUCCCUUGCAUCUAGAAACCUUCAUCCUUCCCCAGAGCUCAACAAUGUAAAGGCCCCAUGCUUUCCUAAGUUGAAGAAAAGAAAAUUCUGCAAAUGUGGACGAUAACCUAACCGGGGGUAUCCAUCCUGUGGUCCCCGGGCCACAGCAGCCACGGACAGCUCAGAAUGCUCUACGAGAUCAUCACUGUUUAACACUGAUGCGAUUCUCAGUCAUAUUUUUCACGGCUUGAUCAGGCAGUGCUUCAGCAAGGACUGCAUAGGUGACAAUCUGACACUGUGGAGGGGAGGGACAGGGCGUCCCUGACUGCAACCUGUGCCUUCCAAAGUCGAAUCAAAGCCCUCGGGUAUCAGGUACUCAUGUGACUUGGUGAAUAAAAUACACAACUACCAGUAAUACUAUGCCUGAUCAAAAAAUGUGGUGUCCACUUAAAAUU